GUACGUUACAUUCUCCUCAAACCGAGACCUAUAGGGAAUUAAAACACGUCUCUAAUACCAACCCUGGAGGGUAGGGUUGGAAUACUUAUAUCA
rnacentral:ncRNA from 1 species